rnacentral:misc_RNA from 1 species
AAGUCGUAACAAGGUUUCCGUAGGUGAACCUGCGGAAGGAUCAUUAUCACGUAUCCACGUAUCAACCAUUGUGAACCGUAUCACCUCUGUAAAAUGUGGGAAAACGCGUUGUGAUUGUUUGUUCUCAAACAAGAUCGACAAAGUGACCUACUUUUUACAGAGCGUAUUUUAUCUAUUAACCAUUUUAACCCAAUCUUUAUAACUUUUUGAACUAACUUAUUUUAUACUCUUCGGAGAUAAAAUUCAUUACGAAACAAAGAACAACUCUUAGCAACGGAUAUCUUGGUUCUC